rnacentral:rRNA from 2 species
UUAAUUUGAGAGUUUGAUCCUGGCUCAGGACGAACGCUGGCGGCGUGCCUAAUACAUGCAAGUCGAACGAACUCUGGUAUUGAUUGGUGCUUGCAUCAUGAUUUACAUUUGAGUGAGUGGCGAACUGGUGAGUAACACGUGGGAAACCUGCCUAGAAGCGGGGGAUAACACCUGGAAACAGAUGCUAAUACCGCAUAACAACUUGGACCGCAUGGUCCGAGUUUGAAAGAUGGCUUCGGCUAUCACUUUUGGAUGGUCCCGCGGCGUAUUAGCUAGAUGGUGAGGUAACGGCUCACCAUGGCAAUGAUACGUAGCCGACCUGAGAGGGUAAUCGGCCACAUUGGGACUGAGACACGGCCCAAACUCCUACGGGAGGCAGCAGUAGGGAAUCUUCCACAAUGGACGAAAGUCUGAUGGAGCAACGCCGCGUGAGUGAAGAAGGGUUUCGGCUCGUAAAACUCUGUUGUUAAAGAAGAACAUAUCUGAGAGUAACUGUUCAGGUAUUGACGGUAUUUAACCAGAAAGCCACGGCUAACUACGUGCCAGCAGCCGCGGUAAUACGUAGGUGGCAAGCGUUGUCCGGAUUUAUUGGGCGUAAAGCGAGCGCAGGCGGUUUUUUAAGUCUGAUGUGAAAGCCUUCGGCUCAACCGAAGAAGUGCAUCGGAAACUGGGAAACUUGAGUGCAGAAGAGGACAGUGGAACUCCAUGUGUAGCGGUGAAAUGCGUAGAUAUAUGGAAGAACACCAGUGGCGAAGGCGGCUGUCUGGUCUGUAACUGACGCUGAGGCUCGAAAGUAUGGGUAGCAAACAGGAUUAGAUACCCUGGUAGUCCAUACCGUAAACGAUGAAUGCUAAGUGUUGGAGGGUUUCCGCCCUUCAGUGCUGCAGCUAACGCAUUAAGCAUUCCGCCUGGGGAGUACGGCCGCAAGGCUGAAACUCAAAGGAAUUGACGGGGGCCCGCACAAGCGGUGGAGCAUGUGGUUUAAUUCGAAGCUACGCGAAGAACCUUACCAGGUCUUGACAUACUAUGCAAAUCUAAGAGAUUAGACGUUCCCUUCGGGGACAUGGAUACAGGUGGUGCAUGGUUGUCGUCAGCUCGUGUCGUGAGAUGUUGGGUUAAGUCCCGCAACGAGCGCAACCCUUAUUAUCAGUUGCCAGCAUUAAGUUGGGCACUCUGGUGAGACUGCCGGUGACAAACCGGAGGAAGGUGGGGAUGACGUCAAAUCAUCAUGCCCCUUAUGACCUGGGCUACACACGUGCUACAAUGGAUGGUACAACGAGUUGCGAACUCGCGAGAGUAAGCUAAUCUCUUAAAGCCAUUCUCAGUUCGGAUUGUAGGCUGCAACUCGCCUACAUGAAGUCGGAAUCGCUAGUAAUCGCGGAUCAGCAUGCCGCGGUGAAUACGUUCCCGGGCCUUGUACACACCGCCCGUCACACCAUGAGAGUUUGUAACACCCAAAGUCGGUGGGGUAACCUUUUAGGAACCAGCCGCCUAAGGUGGGACAGAUGAUUAGGGUGAAGUCGUAACAAGGUAGCCGUAGGAGAACCUGCGGCUGGAUCACCUCCUUUCUAAGGAA